ACGACGCUGGCGGCGUGCCUAAUACAUGCAAGUCGAACGGUCUUUCUAUGGAAGCUUGCUUCCGCUGAGAAGAUAGUGGCGAACGGGUGAGGUAACACGUGGGUAACCUGCCCAUAAGAGGGGGAUAACAUCCGGAAACGGGUGCUAAUACCGCAUAGUUUUCUUGAUCGCAUGAUCGGGAAAGGAAAGACGGCCUUUGUGCUGUCGCUUAUGGAUGGACCCGCGGCGUAUUAGUUAGUUGGUGAGGUAACGGCUCACCAAGACGAUGAUACGUAGCCGACCUGAGAGGGUGAUCGGCCACAUUGGGACUGAGACACGGCCCAAACUCCUACGGGAGGCAGCAGUAGGGAAUCUUCCGCAAUGGACGAAAGUCUGACGGAGCAACGCCGCGUGAGUGAAGAAGGUUUUCGGAAUCGUAAAACUCUGUUGUCAGAGAAGAACAAGUUGGAGAGUAACUGCUCCAGCCUUGACGGUAUCUGACCAGAAAGCCACGGCUAACUACGUGCCAGCAGCUGC
rnacentral:rRNA from 1 species